rnacentral:lncRNA from 1 species
GUUGGAGUACGAAAUAUAAAAUCGUUGACGACAGAAGUAAACAUGGCAUUCUCAAUUACCUUCCCUUUCCCAUUUCCUGUUGCAUGUGGUUGCAUUUGCUUUUGCUGUUAUGCUUCGAUAAAUUCGUUGAUAAAUAACCCUAGCUGAGGCCUGUAUAAAAUAAUUAUGUAAAUUUACAUAUUUUCAUAAAAUUUAACCAAUAAUUUGACUUACAAUUGGGUACAUGUUGUGACCAGCUACGCCAUAUCUGGAAAACCUUGGUGUUGAUUGCCUUCUAAUUGGUGGUUCCCUUGCUGCACACAUUCUUCUUACCCUUGGGCGACCUGCUCCACA